UCAAACGUCAAACAAACUUCCCAAAAAUGGCAGCAGCAACUCUACUUCCCUCGACACCAUUUCACUACACAAACCCGCCAUUACCACUCCCCCGCCCAAACUCCCUCUUCUUCUCCUCCUUCUCAAACCCCUCCGCCGGCCACCACUUCCCUCGUCUACUUCCGCUGAUCACGUCUCCCCCUUUCCGUUUCAUCCCCGCCGUCCAUCCGUCUCUCUUAUUCUCGUCCCGGCCGUUGCCUUGCCGCCCAAUCAGGACCGCCUCUCCCUCCCCCGGAUUCUGACUCGACCAGCCUCGCAGGUCUUGCAGCAUCUUUCUCCAAAUUUCAGGACAAAGUACAGAUCUUCUUUGCUGUUCUUUUUUGGAUGUCUCUUUUCUUCUGGGCUUCUGUGUGGGAUGAAAGAGUCGACCAGACAAGGGCUCACGAUUUAGAAAAUGACCCAGUUAGGCUCAAGACUGAAAUGUAACUUGUGGAACAUGACAUGCAUCAAUCACCGAGUCCCAGAAGAACAUUAGGGUGGUACCUCGUGGUCCUCACCUAACCACUGACGUGGUCACGGUUCAACCUGUAAUUUUGUCCUGCACUUAAGUGAGUGCAACUAAUUGAUGAAGACAUUCUCGGUACAUCCUCUGUGCCUUAUUAUAUUCCAACUUAGGGUUUGUUUGGGACUGCUUGUGUAAGAAGCACUUCUACUACUAAGCGCUUCUGUGAGAAAUGUUUUAAUUAGAAACAUGUGGAAAUGUUAAUUAAAACUCCAAGUGCUUUCUAGAAAAGCACUUGAUGUGCUACCAGAAGAAACACAUAGCAAACAUAAUCGGCGAUUAGGAACCCUUUUGGUUGUCAGAAAGCAUUUUAGCCCUUCCAAAAGCAGCCUCAGACCGACACUUAUUCCAGUCGAGCUGGUUACUAUGGUGCAUUGUAUGUGUUUACACAUGGUGUUUUUUUAUGUUGAUGAGUUAUUCUUGGGGUUA